GAUGAACGCUGGCGGCGUGCCUAAUACAUGCAAGUCGAGCGAAGCGGGGACGGGUGAGUAACACGUGGAUAACCUCCUAUAAGACUGGGAUAACUUCGGGAAACCGUAGCUAAACCGGAUACUUAUCGAUGGAUCCGCGCUGCAUUAGCUAGUUGGUAAGGUAACGGCUUACAAAGGCAACGAUGCAUAGCCGACCUGAGAGGCUGAACGGCCACACAGGGACUGAGACAGGGUCCAGACUCCAACGGGAGGCAGGAGUAGGGAAUAUUCCGCAAUGGGCGAAAGCCUGACGGAGCAACGCCGCGUGAGUAAUAAAGGUCCUCGGAUCGUAAAACUCUGUUAUUAGGGAAGCGGUACCUAAUCAGAAAGCCACGGCUAACUACGUGCCAGCAGCCGCGGUAAAC
rnacentral:rRNA from 1 species